rnacentral:rRNA from 1 species
AGAGUUUGAUCCUGGCUCAGAUUGAACGCUGGCGGAAUGCUUUACACAUGCAAGUCGAACGGCAGCACGGGAGCUUGCUCCUGGUGGCGAGUGGCGAACGGGUGAGUAACAUAUCGGAACAUAUCCUAUCGUGGGGGAUAACUAGUCGAAAGACUAGCUAAUACCGCAUACGUCCUGAGGGAGAAAGCGGGGGCUCGCAAGACCUCGCGCGAUUGGAGUGGCCGAUAUCUGAUUAGCUAGAUGGUGAGGUAAAAGCUCACCAUGGCGACGAUCAGUAGCUGGUCUGAGAGGAUGAUCAGCCACACUGGGACUGAGACACGGCCCAGACUCCUACGGGAGGCAGCAGUGGGGAAUUUUGGACAAUGGGCGAAAGCCUGAUCCAGCCAUUCCGCGUGAGUGAAGAAGGCCUUCGGGUUGUAAAGCUCUUUCGGCAGGAACGAAACGGUGGGUUCUAAUACA